rnacentral:tmRNA from 1 species
GGGGCUGAUUCUGGAUUCGACGGGAUUUGCGAAACCCAAGGUGCAUGCCGAGGGGCGGUUGGCCUCGUAAAAAGCCGCAAAAAAAUAGUCGCAAACGACGAAAACUACGCUUUAGCAGCUUAAUAACCUGCUUAGAGCCCUCUCUCCCUAGCCUCCGCUCUUAGGACGGGGAUCAAGAGAGGUCAAACCCAAAAGAGAUCGCGUGGAUGCCCUGCCUGGGGUUGAAGCGUUAAAACGAACCAGGCUAGUCUGGUAGUGGCGUGUCCGUCCGCAGGUGCCAGGCGAAUGUAAAGACUGACUAAGCAUGUAGUACCGAGGAUGUAGGAAUUUCGGACGCGGGUUCAACUCCCGCCAGCUCCACCA